rnacentral:rRNA from 1 species
UAAGCGGAGGAAAAGAAACUAACAAGGAUUCCCCUAGUAACUGCGAGUGAAGCGGGAAAAGCUCAAAUUUAAAAUCUGGCGGUCUCUGGCCGUCCGAGUUGUAAUCUAGAGAAGUGUUAUCCGCGCUGGACCGUGUACAAGUCUCCUGGAAUGGAGCGUCAUAGAGGGUGAGAAUCCCGUCUUUGACACGGACUGCCAGGGCUUUGUGAUGCGCUCUCAAAGAGUCGAGUUGUUUGGGAAUGCAGCUCAAAAUGGGUGGUAAAUUCCAUCUAAAGCUAAAUAUUGGCGAGAGACCGAUAGCGAACAAGUACCGUGAGGGAAAGAUGAAAAGAACUUUGGAAAGAGAGUUAAACAGUACGUGAAAUUGCUGAAAGGGAAACGCUUGAAGUCAGUCGCGUUGGCCGGGGAUCAACCUUGCUUUUGCUGGGCGUACUUUCCGGUUGACGGGUCAGCAUCAAUUUUGACCGUUGGAUAAAGUCCAGGGGAAUGUGGCAUCUUCGGAUGUGUUAUAGCCCUUGGUCGCAUACAACGGUUGGGAUUGAGGAACUCAGCAUGCCGCAAGGCCGGGUACUUGUACCACGUUCGUGCUUAGGAUGCUGGCAUAAUGGCUUUAAUCGACCCGUCUUGAAACACGGACCAAGGAGUCUAACAUGCCUGCGAGUGUUUGGGUGGAAAACUCGGACGCGUAAUGAAAGUGAAAGUUGAGAUCCCUGUCGUGGGGAGCAUCGACGCCCGGACCAGACCUUUUGUGACGGAUCCGCGGUAGAGCAUGUAUGUUGGGACCCGAAAGAUGGUGAACUAUGCCUGAAUAGGGUGAAGCCAGAGGAAACUCUGGUGGAGGCUCGUAGCGAUUCUGACGUGCAAAUCGAUCGUCAAAUUUGGGUAUAGGGGCGAAAGACUAAU